rnacentral:rRNA from 1 species
UAGCAGAGGUCUCGAGCGUUGUUCGGAUUCAUUGGGCGUAAAGGGUGCGUAGGUGGCUAGGUAAGUCGGAUGUGAAAUCCCCGGGGCUCAACCCCGGAACUGCAUUCGAUACUGCCUGGCUAGAGUACUGGAGAGGAGAUUGGAAUUUACGGUGUAGCAGUGAAAUGCAUAGAUAUCAGGAGGAACACCGGUGGCGAAGGCGGUUCUCUGGGCCUGUACUGACGCUGAGGAGCGAAAGCGUGGGGAGCGAACAGG